UUCUCAAUAUAUUUCUUAUUCUUUGCCUACUUGUUAAAUGCUCAUGCCUGGGAGUCCCCUGGUGGCCUAGUGGUUAAGGAUCUGGUGUUGUCACUGCUAUGGCUCAGGUUACUGCUGUGGUGCAGGUUUGAUCCCUGGCCCAGGGAGUUCCUCAUGCUGUGGGCAUGGCCAAAAUGCUUAUGCCUUUGAGUUCUUUCUUUUCCAUCUUUUCUUCUUACUCGGUACCCAGCAUGAUUCUGUAACCACUCCUGUUGUACAAAUCCAUUACUGCCUUCUCUCCUGAGCUUCAAACAUGGCACAUAACCAUUUGGCUAUUUCAUAGGGACCUCCAACUACCAAUAAUUUUGUAGGGAUCUCAAACUGAGCAUAGUGACAAAAAGAUUGCCCUAUCCCUUACACUUCUCCAGCUCAAGCUCAGUACUUCUUCAUGUGCCUUGUCAAUCUGACCACCUAACAUCAAUUAUUCCAUUCUUUUCAUAUCCAAUUACUAUACUUAACUUUUCUUUCAUUGUCUGUGGCUCUGUUCAAAAUGAUCCUACAGCCUGUACAGCAGCAAUCACACUGUGGUUUAUGGUUUGUUUAUCUAUGUCUGCUACUUCAAUUAUUUUUCUUUCUUAAGACUGCUCUUUUUUUAAGAGCAGAGGCCGUUCAUAUUCAGAGUGGGCCCAACUCAUUGUAUCCAGUACGUAAUAAAUGAUCAGUAAAGAUUUGCUGAACCAAGCCCACAAAGAAGGAACUGAUUACAAGUGGAAAAGGUGUAUAAUGGGGGAAAAUGUUUGAAAUAUCUACUGUGGAUGAAUUAAUAGUGCAUCUGGUCAGAAAAUGUUGAUCUGGGUUUGUGUGCAUGUGUGUGCGUGUGUCUGUGAUGCACAAACAAUAUGCAUUCACACAUACAUGCAUGUGUGUUGGUGUGUGUUUUGUGUGUUUUGUCCAACAAUACUGCACCAAGAGUGGGAGAGGAGUAGCAGAUGGUGGGUGUGAGUCAGAGUUUCAGAGUGACCUGGCUGAUAGUUAAGAGGUGUACGUAUCUGGGAUAUACUGUGCCUGGAGAUGAGUGUGGCAGAAGUUGAGUGUGGACAGGGCAGGGCUGGAGAAGUUCAGGGGCAGGUUGAGAGGAAUGUAUUGUACUGGGGGUGGAGAAAUGGGAGCGGACCAUCCUUCCCCUUAAUCCUGGAGAAGGUCUCGUCUCCUUUUCCACAGAAGCCCAGGCAGAAGUAACAUUUACAGAUGUUAUAUGUCAGGGUGAUGAAUUUUUCAUGGUCUGUCUGGGUGGAAGGACCAAGAGCCAUGCCCGUUUUAGGCAGGUGGGAGAGUUCCCAUUGUGGGUCAGCAGGUUAAGAACCUGACAUAGUAUCCAUGAAGAUGCAGGUUUGAUCCCUGUCCUUGCUCUGUGGGUUAAAGAUCUGGUGUUGCCACAAGCCGUGGCGUAGGUCACACGCAGAUGUGGCUUGCAUCUGGUAUUGCUGUGGCUGCAGGGGAGGGCCAGCAGCUGUAGCGCCCAUGUGACCCCAAGCCUGGGAACUUCCAUAUGCCUCAGGUGCAGCCCCAAAAAGAAAAAAACAAAAACCAAAAAACCCCCAAGACCCAAAAAAAGCAGAUUGGGAAAGCUUUGUGGCCUUUCUGAUCUAGAACUGAGAGAGUAAUAACCAAAGCCUAGCAGACUGCAAGCCCUGUGGUCUAGUGCAGAGAAGCCAAGAUGUCCUUGGUGAAUAGUCACCAUGCUGUGGGGCAGCAGCAGUCGGCCCUGAGCAUGGGCACAGAUGCUGACACCCUGCCAGAGCUAGAGCCACACUUGAGCUGUUCCCCAAGUUUCCUCCUCGUGAGUCAGUAGCUGAGGACUGACUACUCAGACUUACUUUGAGUUUCAUGACCUCCUCUAAUUCUGACUUAGAGAUUUUGUUAGAUAGAAAUGUUUGAACAUCACCAAACUAGUUAGGUAAAACUUUGAUACAAAAAAAGGCAAUGGGAAAAAAAGUACUCCUGAUAAUUUAGUUUUAACAAUCACAGUAAUCCUUACCAGCUUGUCUGAGGUCAUUUGUAGUUAAAAAAAAAUUUUUUUUAGGGCUGCUCCUAUGGCAUAUGAAAGUUCCCAGGCUAGGGGUCAAAUUGGAGCUGCAGCUGUCAGCCUCCACCCCAGCCACAGCAACGCCAGAUCUGAGCCAUGUCUGUGACCUACACCCUAGCUCAUGGCACCACCAGAUGCUUAACCUACUGAGUGAGGCCAGGGAUCGAACCUGUAUCCUCAUGGAUACUAGUCGGAUUAGUAACCCACUAAGCCACAACAGGAACUCCUAAAAGUUUUAGGGUUUUUUUUUUUUUUUUUUUUAAGUCCCUGAACCAAAAGGACUUAAGGAAGUUGUCAACAUUAUUCAUGGGCCAGAGAAUUAGAGGAAGACGUAAUUGCAGAACGAGGUUAGGCUCAGCAGAGAAAACGCAAUAGUCUCUCCUUGGGUCUAGGUAGAGUGCUGAACCAACAUCUCAGGAGACUUUUUUCAAAACAAGUCGUACACUCAUUUUAGAAGGUGAUAAGACUAUAAUAAUGCUGGAUUGAGGUGGGAAGAAAGCAGUGAUUGUCUGGAAACCCUCGGCAAGGUCAUGAUGGCCUCACCCUCACGAGGAACUGACUAAUGUCUGAAGUUCUUUAGUUGAAGGCUCCCUUUGCUGAUACAUGCGUGUUCCUGGGAGGUGGCAUGCUAAACCCUUAUCAGUUAUUUACAUCACAGCAUGAUACCACAAAUACACCAGGCAUGCUCCACCUCGUCCUCUCCACUUCUUUCCCUAGAAGGUUCUGCUCCAGACAUGCACAAGGUUUAUUCCCUCACUCUUCACUUUUUUCCUCCCUCAAAUAUUGCCUUCUCAGUGAGGUCUUUUCCGACCACCCAUAACAAAGUUAUAAUUACUCCCACCCCAAGAGCUCCCCACCCCCUUUCCUACUUCAUUUUUCCUUGGCACACCACGCUCUAAAAGACUGAGCGUACUAUGUAUUAUCUGUCACCACUCAUUAGAAUGUAAGCUUCACGAGGGCUGGGUUUUUUCUCCAUGAACUUUUGUGUAUCCAGCACCUAAACAGUGCCUGGCCCAUUGCAUUGUCAGUCUUCAGUAAAUCGUAGUUGAAUGUGUGAAUGAAAGAAUAGUGAAUAUGUUUGCAAGGUUAUUUUGGAGGAUAGACUGGUGUGUGUGCGUGUGUGUGUGUGUGUGUGUGUUUGUAUGUGUGUGUAAAAUGAGGAUAGAGGGGAAAAGAGCAGAGACCGUUAUAUUCCUGGAAGGACGUGAGUAAAUGUCACCAAACUGAGGUAGAAUUCCCAGGCUAGGCAUCAAACCCACACCACGGCAGUAAGCUGAGCUGCUGCAGUGACAACGCCAGGUCCUUAACCCACUGCACCACAAGGGAACUCCUUUAUCUCAUACUUCCAUCAUGGGUGAGCCUGCUAAGGCUUUCUGAACAGUGUAAAGUUGCAGUUGUUCAGAGGCCAUUUCUGUGUUCUUCCUUUCCUUCCAGACUCCCUUCCCCACAGGAGGGGCAAAGUGUGAAAUUAUCAACAAUAUGGAAAAUCCCUUGCCCUCCAGAGAUGAACAAAGUUAAGCCUUGUUACAAGAGUGUGGUUCUUGGGAAUGUUGAUGUUAUCUCCCCACCUAUUUUUUUCUGAAGAAAAAUUUCAGAAUAAAUCUCCGGCUUUGAUUCACCCUAGGGUUUGUUUAUAGGCAUUCUUGGAAAGAUAAGGGAAAUAGCAGUGACUAGGGAGGAGAGUUUGGUUGCUAAUAGCAGCCCUGGCCUUGCGACCAUUGCCUGUGCAACCGGACAUGUAGGGCUGGGUAGUACGAGUGUACAGGCAGGUACAGAGCGUUUGCUCAGAGUGUCAGGCAGAAACCAUCAUGCUGACCCAAUGUGCCUAACUGAGCCUAGAGAGACCCACCGGAAAAAACCCUCAGAGGACAGAAAAGAAUGCUGGUUUCUUGGCAGUUACUUCAUUUAUUUGCACGUAAACAAGUGAUAUUCUCACAUAUCCAGAAAAAGUGAAGUAGAAGCGAUGCAGUAGCUUUGGAGAGCGAAAGUGGAAAAUCUCAAAAAUAAAUAAUAAUUUCGGAGUUCCCGUUGUGGCUCAGUGGUAACGAACCCAGCUAGCAUCCAUGAGGAUGCAUGUUCGAUCCCUGGCCUUGCUCAGUGGGUUAAGGAUCUGGCGUUGCCAUGAGCUGUGGUGUAGGUCACAGCUGCAGCUCCGAUUUGACCCCUAGCCUGGACAUUUCCAUAUGCCACAGGUGUGGCC
rnacentral:lncRNA from 1 species